GCUGGCGGCAGGCUUAACACAUGCAAGUCGAGCGGAAACGAUGGGAGCUUGCUCCCAGGCGUCGAGCGGCGGACGGGUGAGUAACGCGUAGGAAUCUGCCCAGUAGAGGGGGAUAGCCCGAGGAAACUCGGAUUAAUACCGCAUACGCCCCACGGGGGAAAGCAGGGGAUCUUCGGACCUUGCGCUAUUGGAUGAGCCUGCGUGAGAUUAGCUAGUUGGUGGGGUAAAGGCCUACCAAGGCGACGAUCUCUAGCUGGUCUGAGAGGAUGAUCAGCCACACUGGGACUGAGACACGGCCCAGACUCCUACGGGAGGCAGCAGUGGGGAAUAUUGGACAAUGGGGGCAACCCUGAUCCAGCCAUGCCGCGUGUGUGAAGAAGGCCUUCGGGUUGUAAAGCACUUUCAGUAGGGAGGAAGGCCCAGUAGUUAAUACCUGCCGGGAUUGACGUUACCUACAGAAGCAGCACCGG
rnacentral:rRNA from 1 species